AGUUUCCGGUCGCGGGGCCCAGGCUGCCGCCGGGUGCGAAUGGGCCUCGGUGGGGUCCGCGGGUUCGAGUCCCUACUCGGGGAUGAGCCUCUUUGAUCUCUUUCGGGGCUUUUUCGGCCUUUCUCCACCUCGGAGCCACAGAGACCCCUUUUUUGGAGGGAUGACUCGAGAUGAAGAUGAGGAUGAUGAAGAAGAGGAAGAAGAAGGAGCCACGUGGGGCCGUGGGAGCUCGAGGUUUGAGGGUCCGCAGCCCCCGGAGGAAUUUGGCUUCGGCUUCAGCUUCAGCCCGGGAGGAGGGAUGCGUUUCCAUGAGAACUUCGGCUUUGAUGACCUAAUACAGGAUUUUAACAACAUCUUCAGCGAGAUGGGGGCCUGGACCUUGCCUUCCCGCCCUCCUGAACUUCCUGGUCCUGGUCCUGAGUCAGAGAUACCUGGUGACAGACGGCAGGAGGGACAGACUCUCCGGGACUCAAUGCUUAAGUAUCCAGAUAGUCACCAGCCCAGGAUCUUUGGGGGGGGCUUGGAGAGUGAUGCAAGAAGUGAAUCCCCCAAACCAGCGCCGGACUGGGGCUCCCAGAGGCCAUUUGGUCUGUUUGAUGAUUUGUGGCCUAUGCCCCCCCAUUCUAGAGCCAGAGAAGACAACGGUGAGUGUGGAGAUCUUGAUUCCCAGGUUUCCCAGGAGGGCCUCGGUCCAGUUCUGCAGCCCCAGCCCAAAUCCUAUUUCAAGAGCGUCUCUGUGACCAAGAUCACUAAGCCAGAUGGGACAGUAGAGGAGCGCCGAACUGUGGUGGACAGCGAGGGCCGGACAGAGACCACAGUAACCCAUCAAGAAGCAGACGGAGGCCCUAGAGAUGAUCCAGAAUCACCAGCACCUCCAGCCCUGGAUGACACCUAUUCCAUCCUGGAUUUGUUCCUAGGACGCUGGUUCCGGCCCCGGUAGCCUUGUUAAGCCUCAGCGGCCUUCAGAUCCCUUCCACGCUUUGUUCACCAUCCGUGUCUCCUCCUGCCACCUCGGCCUGGGGUGUGCGGAGCAGUGAAUCGGGGCUUUUCAGAGCAUCACAGAAACACACGGAGCUGGAGACUAGCGGACAUCUGUGGAUGGCUCACAGCUUGAAAGCUGGAGACGCAUACAAACUAAAGAAGCACCUUGGGAGAAACAGUCUGCAGAGAG